rfam:Oryza punctata chromosome 2, whole genome shotgun sequence.
AAUAAAUGCAGUUUUACAUUGUUUAUGUCUAACGUUUAACCGUUCGUCUUAUUUAAAAAAAUUUUAUGAUUAGUUUUUUUGUUGUUACUAGAUGAUAAAACAUGAAUUAUAUUUUAUGUGUGAAUAAUUUUUUUAUAAAUUUUUUAAAUAAGACGGACGGUCAAACGUGGGAUACGAAAAUCCACGGCUGUGUUUAUU